rnacentral:rRNA from 1 species
AUGAUAGAUUACUGGGGGAUCGUCUGAACAAGGCCUGCGCUUAAUUGCGCGGCCAGUUCUUGAUUCUCUGCUAUCAGUUUUCUAUUUCUCAUCCUAAACACAAUGGAGUUUUUUCUCUAUGAACUACUUCCCUGGAGAGCUCGUCUCUCCAGUGGACAUAAACACAAACAAUAUUUUGUAUUAUGAAAAACUAUUAUACUAUAAAAUUUAAUAUUCAAAACUUUCAACAACGGAUCUCUUGGUUCUCGCAUCGAUGAAGAACGCAGCGAAUUGCGAUAUGUAUUGUGAAUUGCAGAUUUUCGUGAAUCAUCAAAUCUUUGAACGCACAUUGCGCCCUCUGGUAUUCCAGGGGGCAUGCCUGUUUGAGCGUCAUUUCUCUCUCAAACCUUUGGGUUUGGUAGUGAGUGAUACUCGUCUCGGGUUAACUUGAAAGUGGCUAGCCGUUGCCAUCUGCGUGAGCAGGGCUGCGUGUCAAGUCUAUGGACUCGACUCUUGCACAUCUACGUCUUAGGUUUGCGCCAAUUCGUGGUAAGCUUGGGUCAUAGAGACUCAUAGGUGUUAUAAAGACUCGCUGGUGUUUGUCUCCUUGAGGCAUACGGCUUUAACCAAAACUCUCAAAGUUUGACCUCAAAUCAGGUAGGAGUACCCGCUGAACUUAAGCAUAUCAAUA